rnacentral:lncRNA from 10 species
CUGCAAUGACGGAGCGGGGCCGGCGUCCGCUUGCUCCAGUCGCGUAAACACAUGGCGUUUACGACUGUCUGGGAAGCCUGACGCCGUGACCUCCCGACGCCGCGAGACUCAAGGAAUGAACAUAAUAAUUUCCUACUAUUCUGCCACCGCGAUGCCGAAGGCGCCCAAGCAGCAGCUGCCGGAGCCCGAGUGGAUCGGGGACGGAGAGAACACGAGCCCAUCAGGGAACUGGAGCCCAACAUGCAGAAGUCACGGUGCAGUGGAGCUUCGGUUCAUUUAUUUUUUUUGGUAACAGCUUUACUGAGAUAUAAUUGACAUACAAUAAACUGUACACAAAAUAAAAUGGCACCCAAAAUAAACUGCAAAGUAUCACUUAAAUAAGUUUUGACCUGCAUAAACCCAGUAAACUAUCACCACAAUCAAGACUUUGGUUCACUUCUAACUCUACCACUUAAUAUGGGAGCUUGAGCAAGGUGCUCCUGUAGUUCUGUCAGCUCUCAAACCACUACAAUCAUGCUUUUGUUGCCACCAUUGUCUGAAUUCACACUUGCCAAAGUCAACAGAUCUGGGGCCAUCCUACUCACUCUCCCAUCAAUGUUUGAUAGACUUGGUCGCUCCCUCCCUCCUUUGUUUUCUUCAGGGACACUACUCUCUAUAGGUUUCCUUUGCAUCUAAUGGGCUUCUCCUGAAGUCUAAAUGUUGAAGUGCCUCAGGGCUAAAUCUUUGACACUCUCCUUAAUCUAGACUUAUCACCUAUCACCUCCUGACUUUAAAUACCAUCUAUAACCAAUGAAGAUUCCCAAACUUCUCUUGCUGGCCCCCAACUUCUGCCCCGAGCUCCAGGCUCAUGAAUUCAACUGCUUAUGGGACAUCUUCUCUGAGAUCUUUAAUAAAUCUCUCUCAUACGUACAAAAUGGAGCUCUUGUUCUUACUCCUAAAGCCUGUCUCUUCCAGGCUUCCCCAUCAAGAAAUUGCACCACAGGUCAUUCAGUUAUUUGGGCCAAAACUGAAAGGUCAUCAUCCUCUUUCUCCAUUCCUCCUCCCCUAAUCAAUCCAUCAGCCAGCUAAGUCUGCCUCAUUUUUUCAUUCAUCUGUUCAACAAAUAUAUUUAUUGAGUGUAUAGUAUGUGCCAGGCACUCUUCUACGCUCUUGGGAUACUACUGAAUAAAAUAAAGAUCUCUGAUUAGGUUUCCAGCAGGGGAGAUGAUCCUAUAGAUAAAAGAAAAUAUGGAUCAAGUUUAAAAGUAUCAAGAGGACAGAUUUUAGUCUUAAAUGAGGCCUCAGUAAAGUGAAAUUCAAGCAAAUCAUUAAAGAAGAUUAGUUUUGGCCACAUGGAUUUCCAGGAGAAGGGCCUUUCUAGCAUAAGAAACAGCUGGAGUAAAGCCCUGUGACAGGAGUGUUCGGACAUACAUGGGGAACAAACAGGAAGGAGGCAAGAGGGGCUGGAGUGGCACGAGUGAGCCAGAGUUGUGGGAAAGGUGAAAAGAGAAGUAAAGCAGGGUCUGGAUUGGGAAAGGUCUUUUAAAUUAUCUUAAGGAUUUUGGCUUCUUCUGUUGAUUUAAAUGGAAGUCACUGCAGAGUUCUGAGCAGAGUGAUGUGAUCCAACCUACAUUUUAAAAGGAUGACCUGGGCUGGGGCGCGGUGGCUCAUGCCUGUAAUGCCAGCACUUUGGAAGUCCUAGAUGGGUGGAUCACGAGGUCAGGAGAUUGA